CCCAUGGAGGUGCUUUGAAGCAGUUAACUGCAAUGGAGAAGGGCACUCUUAUAAUUCACUUGGGCUGCAAACAAAAGCAACAGACACCGGGGGAACAAAUUCAGGGUUUGCAGGAGUGAGGAACAACCCCCACUCUUCUCCCAGAGCCAGGAUAAAAAUCUAGGUGAAAGGGUUCCUAACUGUUUUAGCCGUUAGCUUGUACUUUAAACUAACUUCACAGGGUUAAUUGAUUGCUUUCCACCCCACCCUUCUCUCUGACACUUUCGGUUUUUCUGAAGUUUUAAUGGAGGGUGAUUUGGAUAUUUACAUGAAAAGUUUGUUUGGACAAAGCAUGAGGGAAGUCUGCUGGAUUCCAUUGAAAUUUUUAGAGUAAAAGAUCCAGGGAUGACCAUGGAGAUAAAAGUUUGUUACUGACUUUUUUAACAGUCCCGAGACACUCUCUAGGCAAGCUGGUGCAGUGGAAGAGCAACCCAGAACACUAUGUAUCCACUGAAACCACAAAGAUUGUGUUGUAAUAUGGAUGUCAAGCUGGAAGAAUCCUGAUCUAAGCUGGCCGCAGUCUGGCGCCAGAAAUACUUCUUGACGGGCAAAUGUGUUGGAGCCACUGUGGGAGCGGGUGCAACCAGCGCUUUUCAAUGUGUCUUUCCAGUCCAUAACCUGGGGAGUACCUCCCAGAGAAUGGUGGGCGGACCGGGUACAUCCCAACUGCAGUACGUACAUAAGAGGGCUGAAGCAACAAUUUAAUUGGUGGAUGAGGGGACACAUAUGGAAUCGUCGCUGGAAAAGGGAUUUGUGGGCAGCAGAAAACACAGGGUUGGGUGUAUGAAAUCUGGGGGACCAUUGAGUAACUAAAGUAACUGAUAAGCCAGAAUAUAAAAUUGCAGAAGCAAAUCAAUAAGCUACUGGCACAGCUGUCUGCAAUUGCAACAGGGUGGAAAAGGGCAGCAGAGGUGAACCUGCAGUUAAUGCAAUGGACGGUGAACCUUGUGACGUGGGUGGGGAAUAGCUUCAGAAGGCUAACCUGAGGGGAAGUGUGCAUGGGAAUACAAAAUGCCCAACUGGGGGGCUAACACCUGUGUAAUAGUUACUGUGGUAACUUGGAAUGCGAUGGCAACUAAGGUGGUCCCCAUAAGUCCUAUAGGAAUAAUGAGACAGGGAAGGGCUUGCUGAGAAACACUGGGAACCACUGGGGGAUAGAUGGGGAAGAUGGAAUGGUGUAAAUUGGACAAUAAUUCAGUUAAGUACUUGUCCAGAGAAAAUAUUUGGAAGUGUCCCUCUCCGAUGGCCAUGGAGGAGCAGACCCAGUGGCCUGUUGCCAGGAGUGGACGAUUGAGUGUAAUGUAUUAUGUAUGGAGUGUUCUGCUGGGAGUGCACACAGUUCUGCAAUAUGACACUUGGGAGUACAAGUGCACCAGCAUCUGGCACAUUGACACGCUGCCAUUGGGACUUUGGUGCACGAAUGGAUCUGUGGAACUCAUUGCUGUGAACAAUCGAACCAGUGCAUACUACCUGAUUCCAUACCACAUGGUUGAGCUGGUUUCGACAAUACCCCAUUUCUCUGUGAACAUUCAAUGGACUCAUGAUAUAGACAAAAGCAUGCAAAACUUGAAGGAGCAGCUCAAUGCAACUGCCAACAAUUGGACACAUUUAAAAUAUAUUCUCCAGAAUGGUGUUAAAAGGAUCUUAAUCCUGUCAAGAGAAGAAGUAGUGUUUCUGGUGGUGACCCGGAUGCUGGAUUAUAUUAUGAUGGUCAGGGCUGACAAUAUUACUGUGGAUUACUGUGGCUAUUGGCCGAUUGUUAAGUAUGCUCAUUUUGCAAUGUAUACUACGGUGGUUAAGGGGGGCACAGACCCACAAGGUAUAACCACUAAUUGUCACAUAUAAGUAACGUAAUUGGCCCUCCACCACAGUGUAACAGAUAACCCAGACCCAAACUUCUUGGGCCCAUUACUAUGGGGAGUCUGACACACUCAUUGGAAUAUACGUGCAGUAUGUCCGUAUGAGGGAAGGUGCAGGGCAUCAUACUGCAUAGGGGGCAGUGGGACUGAUGGAGCAUCGACACAUUCCAUCUUGAUACCUGGCCCUUUCAGGAAAUGUGCCACCAUAUGUCCUAUGCUUUACCUGGGGAGGAAUGUCCCAGAAGAAAAUAAAAUAAAGGGGUAGAGUGUUAGUAUAUAGGUCUGUUUGUUAGCCUGGCAUAGAAUUUUGGGUUUGACUUUUUGAUACUCUUAUACUAAAAUGUGUAAACAAGGGGAAAAGACACUGUGAUGUUGCUUCUGCCUAGUCAGCUGGAUUUGUUAGUACAAUGAAAACAGUUAAAUUGUUACUCAAGAGCACACUUAGCAACCCCUAUCUCAUGGCAAAGUCAAGCAACCAGUUGGAAGGGGCAAAGGGGCUUGGGCGGGGGAGAUAUAAAACACUAAAAGACCAAGCAGGACAACCUCGCUCCUUACCACUCCCAUGGGGUACAAAAGGGGUGGGAUGAAGACCGCAGACCCAAAAUAGAACAUGACCCUAAGUUGUAAGGGGUGGGACUGUGUGCAUGCAUUGCAGGUAUAUUUAGGCCUGCUAAGAAAGAGGAGGUGGAAAUUGGAGAAUUGGGAAUGGGGAAUAGGGAAUGGGAAAUGAGAAUGAGGACACAGGCAAUGCUCUGCGGCAUCAGAGCUGGGAAGGGGGACAUGGGAUAAAGGCUCUGCGGGUGUCAGAGCUGGGAAAGGGGACCCGGGGUAAAUGCUCUGCAGUGUCCGAACUGGGAAGGGAACACUCGGGAACAAAUUCUAUCGGCCUAUAGAGAUAAGCCUGACUGGUGUGAAGGGCUUCGGAAUAUACUUGCUUGGAAACUAACCCCAAUAAACAUUGCAUUGUCUGUG